UGGGGAAUUUUGGACAAUGGGGGAAACCCUGAUCCAGCAAUGCCGCGUGUGUGAAGAAGGCCUUCGGGUUGUAAAGCACUUUUGUCCGGAAAGAAAUCCUUGGCUCUAAUACAGUCGGGGGAUGACGGUACCGGAAGAAUAAGCACCGGCUAACUACGUGCCAGCAGCCGCGGUAAUACGUAGGGUGCAAGCGUUAAUCGGAAUUACUGGGCGUAAAGCGUGCGCAGGCGGUUUGCUAAGACCGAUGUGAAAUCCCCGGGCUCAACCUGGGAACUGCAUUGGUGACUGGGCAGGCUAGAGUAUGGCAGAGGGGGGUAGAAUUCCACGUGUAGCAGUGAAAUGCGUAGAGAUGUGGAGGAAUACCGAUGGCGAAGGCAGCCCCCUGGGCCAAUACUGACGCUCAUGCACGAAAGCGUGGGGAGCAAACAGGAUUAGAUACCCUGGUAGUCCACGCCCUAAAACGAUGUCAACUAGUUGUUGGGGAUUCAUUUCCUUAGUAACGUAGCUAACGCGUGAAGUUGACCGCCUGGGGAGUACGGUCGCAAGAUUAAAACUCAAAUGAAUUGACGGGGUCAUAGCUGUUUCCU
rnacentral:rRNA from 1 species